ACUCCUGCGGGAGGCAGCAGUGGGGAAUAUUGCACAAUGGGCGCAAGCCUGAUGCAGCCAUGCCGCGUGUAUGAAGAAGGCCUUCGGGUUGUAAAGUACUUUCAGCGGGGAGGAAGGCGAUAAGGUUAAUAACCUUGUCGAUUGACGUUACCCGCAGAAGAAGCACCGGCUAACUCCGUGCCAGCAGCCGCGGUAAUACGGAGGGUGCAAGCGUUAAUCGGAAUUACUGGGCGUAAAGCGCACGCAGGCGGUCUGUCAAGUCGGAUGUGAAAUCCCCGGGCUCAACCUGGGAACUGCAUUCGAAACUGGCAGGCUAGAGUCUUGUAGAGGGGGGUAGAAUUCCAGGUGUAGCGGUGAAAUGCGUAGAGAUCUGGAGGAAUACCGGUGGCGAAGGCGGCCCCCUGGACAAAGACUGACGCUCAGGUGCGAAAGCGUGGGGAGCAAACAGGAUUAGAAACCCCGGUAGUCCCAUG
rnacentral:rRNA from 1 species